CCUUUUGCGUCUGACUUGUAAGAUUCCCUAUCCAACAAAUCUUGGACGUCGCUGUCUCUGGACUCUUUCUUCGGACUUGCGGCUGGGCAAUUGCAAGGUUCACAGGCCUGUGGGGUGCAGCCCACCAACAGGAACUAUUACAGCACUACAUGGUCUGUGGUUGAUGGUGCAGAUGUGGAACCACAGGUAUGGAGGAAACAAAUAAGUGGAGGGCUGAUGGUUGAAGCCCUAACUUCCCCAUGUGACUAUAUUUGGAGGACCUUUAAAGGAGAUAGUUAAGACUAAAUGAUGUCAGAAGGGUGGGGCCUUAACCCAGAACUGAUGUCUUUAAAAGAAGAGACAAUAGGAGCACAAGCAAACAGGAAAAGGCCAUGUGAAGAAACAGCAAGAAGGUGGCUGUCUGCAAGCCCUGGAGAGAAG